rnacentral:rRNA from 1 species
UAGAGUUUGAUCCUGGCUCAGGAUGAACGCUGGCGGUAUGCCUAAUACAUGCAAGUCGUACGAAAGUUUUUAACUUUAGUGGCGGACGGGUGAGUAACGCGUGAGAAUUUACCUUUAGGAGGGGGAUAACAACUGGAAACGGUUGCUAAUACCCCAUAUGCUUUCGAGUGAAAUAGAUUUAUCUGCCUGAAGAGAAGCUCGCGUCUGAUUAGCUUGUUGGUGGGGUAACGGCCUACCAAGGCGACGAUCAGUAUCUGGUUUGAGAGGAUGAUCAGACACACUGGAACUGAGACACGGUCCAGACUCCUACGGGAGGCAGCAGUAGGGAAUUUUCCGCAAUGGGCGAAAGCCUGACGGAGCAAUACCGCGUGAGGGAAGACUGCCUAUGGGUUGUAAACCUCUUUUUUCAGGGAGGAAUUUUGACGUGUACCUGAAGAAUAAGCAUCGGCUAACUCCGUGCCAGCAGCCGCGGUAAGACGGAGGAUGCAAGUGUUAUCCGGAAUCACUGGGCGUAAAGCGUCUGUAGGUGGUUGAACAAGUCAACUGUUAAAUCUUGAAGCUCAACUUCAAAAUCGCAGUCGAAACUGUUUGACUAGAGUAUAGUA